CAGCCCUCACCAUCAGGAGAAACCUGGUGUGCACGGAGGUAGCUGCAAAUUUACCGAUGGUCCAGUGGUCGGAUUUUCUAGAGUUCAGAAUUUGGCCUCACAGAGCUGAGCUACUCAAGGCCUCAGAGAGCAGAGCUGUCAAAAUGAUCUAUCACCCAGGACACCGCAGGACAAGGCCAGGAGACGCUGAAGCAUUUGCAGGGUUUUACCUCCUUCCAGAGCUGGUGAUAAAUAAUAAUGCACAUCUGCGUCAUCAACAUGACGGGGAGAUCUUUUUUUAAAUGCAAAAUUGUUUCCAGAAACAUUUUGGCUUGCUAAGAGGUCUUGAUGGUUUUAAAUGCCUCUACCCUCCCUUGGCCUUGGCACAUGACUUGUGCGUGGAAGCAAUCUCUCUCAACUUAAGUUUGAGCUCUUGCUGUCCUUGAAGAAAGACCUCCUGGCUCUGGCCUAAUGUAGCUUCAGUUGGUGACUGGAUUGAACAGUAGGACCGGAGUUGAAUAGAUGGCAGGGCUACCUUGGAGAGCUGGAUGAAUCUCUGAUGAUAAGACUGGGCUGGCCAGCUCAGACACAACCUCCAUAAGGACAAACCUCUCAGUCUGUCUGCUCAUCACUCUAUAAGCAGCACCUGGAAUAGUGCCUAGCACCCACAGGAGGAGUGAAGAACGCUUCCGAAUGUCGCCCUACCACUGCAUUGAUACGUAACC